UACGUAGGUGGCAAGCGUUGUCCGGAUUUACUGGGCGUAAAGAGCGCGCAGGCGGUCGUCCAAGUCGCGUGUGAAAGCCCCCGGCUCAACUGGGGAGGGUCACUCGAUACUGGUCGACUCGAAGGCAGGAGAGGGUAGUGGAAUUCCCGGUGUAGUGGUGAAAUGCGUAGAUAUCGGGAGGAACACCAGUGGCGAAGGCGACUACCUGGCCUGUUCUUGACGCUGAGGCGCGAAAGCUAGGGGAGCAAACGGG
rnacentral:rRNA from 1 species